CCCCUCUCAGGGUUAUACUUGGAGAGUUUCCAGUACUCUACCAGUCUCGACCUCAGGAGGGAGAGUCAAGCAGAGGUAUAUGCAUUCCAUUCCUAGCGUGGCCAGUGGCUAGCGAAUGGAAGACAAUCUGCUACAAGU
rnacentral:snoRNA from 2 species